CACUUCCUCUGUGAAAUGGAUAUAAAAAUAUCUACUUCACAACAUGGCUGGGAGAAUUAGUUGAGAUGAUGUUUAGCAAAUGCUUAGCAGGUGCUCAGGAAACAGUGGCUGGCAUCGCUUUGAGAAGGUCUUCACCCUGGUGUUGUUCUUCGUUUUGUUUUGAGACAGAGUCUCGCUCUUUCACCCAGGCUGGAGUGCAGUGGCGUGAUCUCAGCUCACUGCAAAUUCCACCUCCCAGGUUCACACUAUUCUACUGCCUCAGCCUCCUGAGUAGCUGGGACUAGAGGCUCCCACCACCAUGCCCAGCUAAUUUUUUGUAUUUUUAGUAGAGACGGGGUUUCACCGUAUUAGCCAGGAUGCUCUCGAUCUCCUGACCUCGUGAUUUGCCUGCCUCGGCCUCCCUGAGGGCUAGGAAUACAGGCGUGAGCCACCACGCCCGGCCACCCUGGUGUUUUGAGAUGAAGAAACUGAGGUUUAGAGAAGCCGCUUGCCCAGCGUAGACAGCGAGAAGGACAGGUCCAGUUCUGCUUGAUGAUGAAGCCUGUGUCUUCUCUGCUGUGUGAUCCUAAUCACGUUGGGAGGUUCCUGAGGAAGCAGAGGAUUUUGCCCUUGCAUUUGAGCCACAGCAGCUCUAGGAUGGCUCUUCACUAGGAGGCUGGCACAGAACCAUUGGAACAACCACUGGUGCAAGACACAGUAAAGCCCACCUGUGUAUUCCUGUGGAAGCUGGCCAUGACAAUACACAUAGACCAGAGGCUUAAUUAAAUUCUCAGCUCCUUGAGAGCAGGAGUCAGGGCUGAGGCUGAUUAAGUUUGUCACUUUGGAUUUCCAGCUCCGGAUGGGUACCAUGUAUGCAGUUGGUGCUUAUUAAAUGUUUGCUGGUGGUCUUUCUGCCUUUUUUUUUUUUUUUUUGAGAUGGAGUGUCACUUUGUCGCCUAGACUGGAGUGCAGUGGUGUGAUCUUGGCUCACUGCAACCUCUGCCUUCUGGGUUCAAGUGAUUCUCCUGCCUCAGCCUCCCUAGUAGCUGGGAUUACAGGCGCCCACCACCACACCCAGCUAAUAUUUGUAUUUUUAGUAGAGAUGGGGUUUCGCCAUGUAGGCCAGGCUGGUCUCGAACUCCUGACCUCAAGUGAUCCACCUGCCUCAGCCUCCCAAAGUGCUGGGAUUACAGGUGUGAGCUACCAUGCCUGGCAUUUUAUUUUUAUUUAUUUAUUUUUUUUGAGACAGGGUCUCGCUUUGUCACUCAGGCUGGAGUGCAGUGGUGCAAUCUUGGCUCACUGCAACCUCUGCCUCCCGGGUUCAAGUGAUUCUCCUGCCUCAGCCUCCUGAGUAGCUGGGACUAGAGGCUCCCACCACCACGCCCAGCUAAUUUUUGUAUUUUUAGUAGUGACGGGGUUUCACCAUGUUGGCCAGGUUGGUCUUGAACUCCUGACCUCAGGUGAUCUGCCUCCCUCGGCCUCCCACAGUGCUGGGAUUACAGGCGUGAGCCACCAUGCCCGGCCUGUUCUGGCUUCUUACAUAAAUUUUUACAAUGCUUCUCCCAAACAGAAACAUUUUCUUCUAUAAAGAUUAUGGUACUACGUUAAUUUCUCCAAAGAGUGGGCUAUCUCAUCUACGAAUUAUGGUUUGUCAUGUAUAACUAUGGUUUUACCCAAAUGCUUGUAAAGUGGAAUUUUCCCAAAAUAUUGUUAAUAUUUUCUUAUAACAUGGCAUUCAUCUCAGGAAGGGAAAGACUUGAACUGGAGGAGAAUUCAGCAGUCAUCCAGAUUAACUCUUUAAUUAGCAAAUGAGGAAGGUAAAGUUCAACAUGUCAGAGGGACUUCCAGGGGUCAACCGGCAAAUCCACUUAGUAACCUAUAUUUGGGAACCGGUUGCUGGUGCAGAAAAUAACUGAUCGAUUCACAAUAUCUUCAGAUUCUGGAUCAAUUAUAUGCUUGGCCAAAUUUUUCUUCAAUAGAUGUGAGAACAUUUUUCAGUAACGUGUUCUGUUCACUAUCCAUCCAAGCUUCUGUCAUUAGAUAAGACUUCACCCAUGUAACCUGCUACCUAGACACCCUCGGAGGGCAGGGUCUGCGUCUGUUUGCUCAGAGUGGCUAGUAUAUACAUUUGUUGAAUGAAUGGCUGAUGGAACUUGAAUUGAAACACAGUAUAUUACGUUCUCAUUUAUUCCAAUGGUCCACUUCGUAUAGAUCCUGCACUAUCCUGUUUAGUUGCUUCUGGGUUUUAGUGAUAAAUGCCUUUGGUUGCAAUUAACAGUGACAUAAACAUAUGGAGGGUUAUUUUCUCACAGAACAAGAAGUCCAGAGAUGGGCAGUUGCUAACGCUGCACCAGCAAUGAUGCUCAGUUAUGUUGGAACAGCAGCCACAAUUCUCUUGGCUUUUCCUCAUGGUAGCAAUAUGACUGCCAUAGCUCCAAGCAUCGCAUCCUGCAUUCAGUGCAAGAAAAAGGGAGUAAGGGAUGAAACCAGCAGAUGAGGAAAAGCAAAUGCUUCUUUUUCCCCCUGAGAAACCCUCUAAUAGAUUUCUGCUUCAAUCUCAUUUGACAACACUGUACCAAUGGCCACCCAUAGCUGCAAAGGAGAUGAGGAAGGACAGUGGGCAGGAUCUGACCAGAGUCUUUGCGAUUGAGCUUGCUCUCUUAUGCCUCUGCCAUCACCCACAGAGAAACAUGCCCAAGUUAGCCGUCUGGUCCCACGAGAAACAUGGGAAACGGGGAUCAGAGCCAUCCUAGCCGAAAUGAGCCCAGAUCAGCAGGCCUUAGUGGACCCCAAGAUAGGCCAGGUCUGCCAGAUGAAUCCCCGCCCCACUGGCAAUGGAUUCCGCAGCCCGUGGACACACUUUCUUCCUUCCCGUUCACGUGGCUAUUUCUCUGAGAACCAGCAGCAGUGCUAGGAGGAGGGAAGGAAGUUAUUGACUCUGUCACUCAUUAGCGUCUCCGAGGAAGUGUGACCAGGAGGAGGCUGGAGAGGCUGUCUAUCCGUGGUUUCCUGCUGUUGAACCCAUGGCUGGCCCUGACGGAGGACACCUGCAGAAUAGGCACGUUGUCCACAACAUUCUCAAUCCUCAGCGUUCACUUGGAUCUUGUGCCGUGAUUAUCACUCGCAUGAACACUAGCCUCCGCCCCGCCUCGGCCCCGAGCAGACUGCGCUGGAAUGCUCCUCACCCCGUCGGCUUAUUAAUGGUUAGCAGCUGUUAAUAAGUGAGAGCGUUGGAAAAGGCCAGCGCUUUGGAAACCAGGUUUCUGUACUUCCUAUCUGUGUGGGCUUGGGUGUGCCUUACUCCGUCUGUGCCUUGGUUUUCUCGCUGUGUAAUGCGUAAUGCCUGGCAGCAUUGCUGUGUGGCUCGAGGACCAUGAAUAUUGAGGAUCCAGCGCAUUGUAGGCACCCAAGAGCGGUGGACACUGAUACCAUUAUCAAUGGACUUGGGCCAGUAAAACAGGGAGGAAGUCAAGGCUCCUAAGUGAAACCAUUGAGUUGUUUGUUUGUUUUGAGGUGGAGUCUCACUCUGUUGCCCAGGCUGGAGUGCAGUGGUGCAAUCUUGGCUCACUGCAACCCUCCGCCUCCCGGGUUCAAGCGAUUCUCCUGCCUCAGCCUACCGGGUAACUGGGACUACAGGCGCACGCCCCCACACCCAGCUAAAUUUUGUAUUUUUGGUAUAGAAGGGGGUUCACCAUGUUGGUCAGGCUGGCCUUAGGCUCCUGACCUCAAGUGAUCCACCCGCCUCGGCCUCCCAAAGUGCUGGGAUUAUAGGUGUGAGCCACUGCGCCUGGCCGAAACCAUUGAGUUUUAUGAACUUCAGUGCCAAUUUAUUACAGCCCUUGGGGUGUGGCCUGCGUUGGACUCUUGUGAAGAGAGUUGAAUCUCCUAGUAGUCAGCUGGCAUCUUAGCAUACACUGAAGCAGGGAUUGACAUUUUUCUAUGAGGACAGGCUUCAAAGUCUUUCGAGCUUCCUUGCUUUGUCCAGGGAACUGGGAAAGAAAAAUUUAAGGGAUUUAUGCUGCCUUCUGGGUAGGAGUGUAACUUCCUGUUGCUGCUGUAACAAUAGUUACCACACACUCAGUUGCUUAAAACAACACAAAUUUAUUCUCUGACAGUUCUGGAGGCCAGAAGUUCAAAAUGAGUUCCAUGAGUUUAAAACCAAGGUGUCAUCAGGGCUGGUUCUUUUUUUUUUUUUUUUUUCUUGAGACCAAGUCUCACUCUGUCGCCCAGGCUGCAGUGCAGUGGCGCAAUCUCCGCUCACUGCAAGCUCCGCCUCCCGGGUUCAAGUGAUUCUCCUGCCUCAGCCUCCCAAGUAGCUGGGACUACAGGCGCCCACCACCACGCCUGGCUAAUUUUUUGUAUUUUUAGUAGAGACAGGGUUUCACCAUGUUAGCCAGGAUGGUCUCGAUCUCCUGACCUUGCAAUCUGCCCGCCUUGGCCUCCCAAAGUGCUGGGAUGACAGGUGUGAGCCACCGCACCUGGCUAGGGCUGGUUCUUUCUGGAGGCUCAGAGGGGAAUCCAUUUCCUUGUCUUUUCCAGUUUGUAGAAGCUGCCUGCAGUCCUUGGCUCAUGGCUACUUCUCUGUCUCCAAAGCGCAUCACUCUGCCUUCUGCUUCCACAGUCACAUCCCCUUCUUUUACCUUUGAACUUCCUGUCUCCCUCUUUUCUUUUCUUUUCUUUUCUUUUUUUUUUUUUUUGAGACAGGGUUUCACUCUGUCACCCAGGCUGGAGUGCAGUGGUGUGUUCACAGCUCACUGCAGCCUUGACCUCUUGGGGCUCAAGCGAUCCUCCUGCCUCAGCCUCCAAGUAGGUGGGACCACAGAUGUGUACCACCAUGCCUGGCUAAAUUCUUAAUUUUUUGUAGGGACGAGGUCUCCCUUUGUUGCCCAGGCUGGUCUUGAACUUACUCAGUAUCAUGAGAACAGCAUGGGGGAAACUGCCCCCAUGAUUCAGUUACUACCCACCAGGUCCCUCCCACAACAUGUGGGCAUUAUGGGAUUACAAUUCAAGAUGAGAUUUGAGUGGGGACACAAAGCCAAACCAUAUCAUUUCACCCCUGGCCCCUCCCAAAUGUCAUGUCCUCACACUUCAAAACACAAUCAUGCACUUCCAACGGUCCCCUAAAGUCUUAACUAUUCCAGCAUGAGCCCAAAAGUCCAAGUCCAAAGUCUCAUCUGAGACAAGGCAAGUCCUUUUCACCUUUGAGCCUGUAAAAUCAAAAGCAAGUUAGUUACUUCCCAGAUACAAUGGGGGUACAGGCAUUGGGUAAAUGCACCCAUUCCAAAUGAGAGAAAUUGGCAAAAACCAACGGGCUACAGGCCCCACGCAAGUCCGAAAUCCAAUGGGGCAGUCAUUAAACCUAAAAGUUCCAAAAUGAUCUCCUUUGAUUCCAUGUCUCACAUCCAGGUCACACUGAUGCAAGAGGUGGGCUCCCACGCCCCUCCCAGCUGCUUUCAUGGGCUGGCAUUGAGUGUCUGUGGCUUUUCCAGGUGCACAAUGCAAGCUGUUGGUAGAUCUACCAUUCUGGGGCCUGGAGGAUGGUGGCUCUCUUCUCACAGCUCCACUAGGCACUGCCCCAAUGGGGACUCUGCGUGGGGUCUCCAAACCCACAUUUCCCUCCUGCACUGCCCUAGCAGAGGUUCUCCAUAGCAGGGAGCUCCACCCCUGCAGCAAAUUUCUGCCUGGACAUCCAGGUGUUUUCAUACAUCCUCUGAAAUCUAGGUGGAGGUUCCCAAACCUCAAUUCUUUUUUUUUUUUUUGGAGACAGAGUCUUGUUCUGUUGGCCAGGCUGGACUGCAGUGGCAUGAUCUCAGCUCACUGCAACCUCUGCCUCCUGGGCUCAAGCAAUUCUCCUGCCUCGGCCUCCUGAGUAGCUGGGAUUACAGGGGUGUGCCACCACAGCUGGCUAAUUUUUGUAUUUUUAGUAAAGACGGGGUUUCACCAUGUUGGCCAGGCUGGUCUUGAACUCCUGACCUCAGGUAAUCCAGCCGCCUUGGCCUCCCAAAGUGCUGGGAUUACAGGCGUGAGCCACCGUGCCCGGCCCAAACCUCAAUUCUUGACUUCUGUACACCUGCAGGCCCAACACCAUGUGUCAGCUGCCAAGGUUUGGGGCUUGCACCUUCUGAAGCAAUGGCCUGAGCUGUGUGUUGGACCCUUUUAGCCACAGCUGGGAUGCAGGGCACGAAGCCCCGAGACUGCACAGAGCAGCAAGGCCCAGGGCCUGCCCCUCGAAAUCACUUUUUCCUCCUAGGCCUCCAGGCUUGUGAUGGGAGGGGCUGCUGUGAAGGUCUCUGACAUGCCCUGGAGACACUUUCCCCAUUGUCUUGUCAAUUAACAUUUGGCUUCUUGUUACUUAUGCAAAUUUCUGCUGCUGGCUUGAAUUUCUUCUCAGAAAAUAGGCUUUUCUGGCCGGGCACAGUGGCUCAUGCCUGUAAUCCCAGCACUUUGGGAGGCUGAGGCAAGUGGAUCACCUGAGGUCAGGAGUUCGAGACCAGCCUGACCAAUCUGGUGAAACCCUGUCUCUACUAAAAAUACAAAAAUUAGCCAGGUGUGGUGGCAGGUGCCUGUAAUCCUGGCUACUCAGGAGGCUGAGGCAGGAGAAUCGCUUGAACCUGGGAGGUGGAGGUUGCAGCGAACGGAGAUCAUGCUGCUGCAUUCCAGCCUGGGCAACAGAGCAAGACUCUGUCUCAAGAAAACAAAGAAACAAACAAAAAAAAACCCAGAAAAUAGGUUUUUCUUUUCUAUCACAUUGUCAGGCUGCAAAUUUUCCAAACUUUUAUGCUCUACUUCCCUUUUAAACACAGGUUCCAAUUCCAAACCAUACCUUUGUGAAUACAUAAAACUGAAUGCUUUUAAGAGUAUCGAAGUCACAUCUUGAAUGCUCUGCUGCUUAUAAAUUUUUUCCACCAGAUACCCUAAAUCAUCUCUCUCAAGUUCAAAGUUCCACAGAUCUCUAGGACAGGGGCAAGAUGCUGCCAGUCUAUUUGCUAAAGCAUAGCAAGAGUCACCUUUGCUCCAGUUCCCAACAAGUUCCUCACCUCAAUCUGAGACCACUUCAGCCUGGACUUCAUUUAUUCACAUCACUGUCAGCAUUUUGGUCAAAGCCAUUCACCAAGUCUUCAGGACGUUCCAAACUUUCCCACAUCCUCCUGUCUUCUGAGCUCUCCAAGUCUCCAGGAAGUUCCAAACUUCCCCACAUUUUCCUGUCUUCUUCUGAGCCCUCUGUUCCAACCUCUGCCAGUUACCCAGUUCCAAAGUCGCUUCUGCACUUUCAAGUAUCCUUAUAGCAGCACCCUACUCCCAGUACAAAUUUACUGUAUUAGUCUGUUCUCAGGCUGCUGUGAAGAAAUACCCAAGAGUGGGUAAUUUAUUUUUAUUUAUUUAUUUUUAUUUAUUUAUUUAUUUUGAGAUGGAGUCUCACUGUCACCCAGGCUGGAGUGCAGUGGCACAAUCUCGGAUCACUGCAAGCUCCACCUCCCAGGUUCACGCCAUUCUCCUGCCUCAGCCUCCCGAGUAGCUGGGACUACAGGCGCCCACCACCACACCCGGCUAACUUUUUUGUAUUUUUAGUAGAGACAGGGUUUCACCAUGUUAGCCAGGAUGGUCUCUAUCUCCUGACCUCAUGAUCCGCCUGCCUCAGCCUCCCAAAAUGCUGAGAUUAAAGGCGUGAGCUACCGCGCCUGGCUUUUUUUUUUUUUUUCUGAGACAGAGUCUUGCUUUAUCACCCAGACUGGAAUGCAGUUGCAUGAUCUCAGCUCACUGCAACCUCUGCCUCCUGUGUUCAAGCAAGUCUCCUGCCUCACCCUCCCCAGUAGAUGGUAUUGCAGGUGCGGGCCACCACACCUGGCUAAUUUUUAUAUUUUUAGCAGAAACGAGGUUUCCCCCAUGUUGGCCAGGCUGGUCUCGAACUCCUGACCGCAGGUCAUCUGUCCACCUCAGCCUCCCAAAGUGCUGGGAUUACAGGAAUGAGCCACUGCGCCCUGCCCUUAUUAUUAUUAUUAUUAUUUUUGUGGAGACAAGGUCUCACUGUGUUGCCCAGGUUGAUCUUGAAUUCCUGGCCUUAAGUAAUCCUCCCACCUUAGCCUCCCAAAGUGUUGGCAUUAAAGGCAUGAGCCACCACACCCGGCCAAGAUACAUAAUUUAAUCACAUCUGCAAAGUCCCUUUUACCACAUGAGGUCACAUCCACAGGUUCUGGGGAUUAGGACGUGGGCAUCUUUUUGGGGACCGUGAUUCAGUCUGCCACAGUGGGUACACAGCAAGCCAGUGAUGGGGGUAAUUAAGUUAGCAUUAAAUAUCCCACGUGUUCUAUGUUCUAGAGCAGUGAUCAUGCCCCUGGGGUGUGAGGUGAUCCACUGAGGACCAGGAAGAAGAGAUGAGAUUAUUGCUUAAGAGUAAGCAAGAAAUCAGGUUUUAUGAAUAUUGACUCUGAGCUGACGCUGGCUCUCUGUACCUAUGACAGUCUAGUCAGAAAAACAGAAAACGCACUGGUUAGUUUAGCAGAGAGAAUUUAAUAUUGGGCAUUGGUGGAACAAGGAAUGGAGGACUAAAGAGGCAGAAGGGGGACCUGAGGUCACAGGCAGGGACACCUCUCAGGCUUGGUGGCACUGCGGUGGUGGCUUUUCAGCUGUCACCCAAGGGAACCUUGCAGGAUGAAUGGGAGUUUCACGGUGAAGUCCCAUCUGCCAGUUUGUUAGCUCUUUUUUUUUUUUAAAUGAGACAGGGUCUCGGUCUGUCAAUCCAGGCUGGAGUGCGAUGGUGCGAUCUCAGCUCACUGCGACCUCUGCAUCCUGGGCUCAAACAAUCCUCCUGCCUCAGCCUCCCAAGUAGCUGGGACCAGAGGCAUGCGCCAACACACCUGGCUAAUUUUUAUGUUUUUUGUAGAGAUGGGGCCUCACUGUGUGGCCCAGGCUGGUCUUGAACUCCUGGGCUCAAGCAAUCUGCCCACCUUGGCCUCCUAAAGUGCUGGGAUUACAGGCGUGAGCCACCACACCUGUCUGUUAGAUCUUAAAAUAUGGCAACAUACGUUGGUGAAGUAUUGGCUUACCAGAGUGGAUCUGUAGCUGCUGGUACCUAUCUUGUCUGGUUCUAACUAAAUUCGGUGUAUGCCUUAAAAAGAUUCAUACAAAGGAACUGUGGAAUGCAGGAAACACUAACAAGCCAAGCAGAGUAAAGAGUGAGAACACAUCAGAGCAGCUGUCUUAUUCCUGGCCUGUGCUCUUGGUCAGACAUAUCCCAAGGUAAAAACAAAGGCAGCCAGCCAGUCAGCCCACAGAGGACAGUCACACAAACCCUAAUUAUCCAGAAGUCUAGUCAAAGUACAGAUUAGAAAAUCCAUCAUUGUUGACAAUAAUCCUCACCCCAAAUGCAUAUUUUGCCUUGAGAUGUAAUGGAAACCAUCAUAAUUAGCAAGACAUUAAAAAGACAUUGUUUGUUUAAUCUUUUACUUGGCAUUUAGAAAUUUCCAUUUUGGCUGGGCGUGGUGGCUCACGCCUGUAAUCCCAGCACUUUGGGAUGCCGAGGUGGGUGGAUCACCUGAGGUCAGGAGUUCAAGACCAGCCUGGCCAACAUGGUUAAACCCCGUCUCUACUAAAAAUACAAAAAUUGGCCAGGUAUGGUGGUGUGCACCUGUAAUCCCAGCUACUCAGGAGGCUAAGGCAGGAGAAUCUUGAAUGUGGGAGGUGCAGGUUGCAGUGAGCCAAGAUCACACCACUGUACUCCAGCCUGGGCAACACAGCAAGACUCCAUCUCAAAAAAAAGUCCAUUUUGUUAGGAGUUUUAUGAUUACACGUAAAAUAUGAGAGCAGCAAUGCAUAUAUAUAAUUCAUAAGUUUUAAGAUACACGUAUAUGGUGGACACCUGCAGGAAAGGUUUUGCCCAUUAGGAUCUAUGAUCUAAACACUUUGGAGACUCCUGCCCUGAAGAGUUCAUGUCUAUGAGCUAUCCAAAAACCCAGACCAGGCCGGGCGUGGUGACUCAUGCCUGUAAUCCCAGCACUUUGGGAGGCCAAGGCAGGCAGAUCACUUGAGGUCAGGAGUUCAGGACCAGCCUGGCCAACAUGGUGAAACCGCAUCUCUACUAAAAAUACAAAAAUUAGCCAGGUGUGGCAGUGUGCACCUGUAAUGCCAGCUACUCGGGAGACUGAGGCAGGAGAAUCACUUGAACCCGGGAGGCAGAGGUUGCAGUGAGCUGAGAUCAUGCCAUUGCACUCCAACCUGCACAACGAGAGCGAAACUCCGUCUCAAAAAAUAAAAAAAAAGCUCAGAUUAAACAAUGAUUAUAGAUGUUUUAUGAAAUCAAUCAAGAAAGUUCAUAAAGAGGAUGAGCACAAUUUUUUUUCUGUCUGCAAGAUCCGUAUUUGUUGUUCUGUGCCACAUUAAUGAUUACAUAACAAUUAUAUAACAUAUAUAUCCAGGCCUUGAUAAUUGCCAUUGUCUACAAGAUGCUCUAGAAGUCCAAAGGGAAAAUGAGCCUGAGAAAGUCCAAUAGGGCUUCACAGAAAAGGUGGCAUUUAAACUAGGCCUUUCUUGGAGCUGGAGAGUUCCACGUGGCUAGGGAGGCCUCACAGUCGUGGUGGAAGGUGACAGGCACGUCUUAAUUAAUGAAGCUUUAAAUGUUUUUUCACUGGGGCCAGGCAUGGCAGCUCACACCUACAAUCUCAGCACUUUAGGAUUACUUUUUUUUUUUUUUUUUUUUUUAAGCAGAGGGUCUGUAACUUUCACCAGAUUCUUAAGGAGACUGUGACCUGGGAGAGUUUUGUUUUUUUUUUUUUUUUUUUUUUUUGAGACGGAGUCUCGCUCUGUCGCCCAGGCUGGAGUGCAGUGGCGCGAUCUCGGCUCACUGCAAGCUCCGCCUCCCGGGUUCACGCCAUUCUCCUGCCUCAGCCUCCCGAGUAGCUGGGACUACAGGCGCCCGCUACCACGCCCGGCUAAUUUUUUUUUUUUGUAUUUUUAGUAGAGACGGGGUUUCACCGUGUUAGCCAGGAUGGUCUCGAUCUCCUGACCUCGUGAUCCGCCCGCCUCGGCCUCCCAAAGUGCUGGGAUUACAGGCGUGAGCCACCGCGCCCGGCCUCGACCUGGGAGAGUUUUAAGAGUGGGAAAGCUGUAAGGCCACGCUCAGGCUGGAUUCCAGCUGUGGGACCCCUCGCUUCACUUCUCUGAGCCUCAACUUCCUCAUCUGUGCAAUGGGGCAGCCUCGUGGACAUGCAGGAUUGCAGUUCUGGACAUGCAGAGCCUGGCAUCCAGAGGAGCCCAGCGCCCGCCAACUGCAGCACCCAGCACCAGCAACCCCAGGGUUGGGGGCUCACUCCAUUCUUCUCCCCAGGGCUACACCACCUCUAGCUUCCUGGCCGUCAGUUUCCCCAGCAACUUCAUUUUGUUUAUUUGCAAUGGCUUAUUGGGGUCUCCUGGAGAAAAGAUUCUCAGCUGAGUUCCAGAAAAUGAACGCGCUCUCCCCGUGCUCGGAGAGCUCCCAGCUGUUCUCUUGGCUGGCCGGCUCAGAAGAAAUGAUGUUAGGAAUGUUUAUCUCGGAGGAAGCGGAAGAGCUCCUUUCAGCAAAAUAAGAAUGAACCACAAAACAGGGUGCAGAGGGCCUUGUCAAGGCAGCAUAGCGUGGUGCCAUGGGAACAUCCCCUUCCUUUGUCCUGCCUCAGCUGACAGUGCCUCGGAGAUGCCCUGAGCUAUGUCAGCCCGGCUGGCAUCCAAGGGGUUCCUUAUUGGCUCACAAGACACGUUGCAUUUUCAGGACCAGAGAGACUUGGAGGUCCUCACCUGCAGCCCUGGGCCUUUGUUUAGGCUGUGCUGUGAGGCUGGCUCUCUGUGGUCAGCAUCUCAGCGUCCCUGCCUGGCCAGCAAAGGGGUGACAUUUUCCUUGGGUGCCCUCUUGCAACAUGGCGUUAAAUUCUCAAAAAGGUGCAAACCCUUAGGGUGAAGUUUGUGUCUAGAAUAUAAUGGUUAAGGGCCUCGGUUCUGGAGUCAGAGUGACCAGGGUUUGGGUCCCGGCUCCAUUGCUUUAUAGCUGCCUGAGCCUCCGUUUCCCAGUGUGUGGAACAGCUGGUAACCAGCAUUCCUACUCCCAUGGGUGUUGGAGACUUGAAUGAGAUCGUCAUUACAAAGCGUUCAGCACAGGUUAAGUGCUGAUAGGCGGAAAGGAGAUAAUCAGUGGUAGCGAUUAUUAUUUUAGUUGUCUACUUAUAAAAUCAAAAAAUCGGAAAUAGAAAAAUACAAAGAAGAAAACCAAAAGUGCAUGUAGCCCCAUGGCCCGGCAAUCCACACCGCUGGCCUUUUGUUAGCUGUCCUUCCUGGUUUUUUCCUGUGGGUGUGUAUGCGUGUAUAUUUCAUAGGAUCUGGUCAUUGUUGAAUGAGGAUAGUUUAUGUAUGUAUAGACAUGUUAGUUUUUUCUUAAUACCAGGCAUAAUGUAUCUUAACCCACUUUUUUAAAACAUAAAAAUACAUGGAGAACACAUUCUCCAAAUCAUUACAUUUUACCAUAUUGCAUAUUUUUUCACUUUGUAAUGUUUCGAAGUAAGGAUGUGUUUUAGAAUCAAUGUCAAAAGAAAUGUGCCAGCUAUUUCUUCUUUUUCCCCCCUAAAAUGGGAGUUAUGAUGACACUGGUAAUACAAAUAACAAAUGAUGGCUUCUCAGAUUCAAAGAAACACAGCAGCCUAAAAGAUCCUUCUUAAAUUCCACAAAGGAUUCCUCAGUGCCACUGUUGUCAUUAGCUCAAUUGACCUCUAUUUUUGGACAUUUUGGCUCCUUCGUUUUUUUUUUUCACUAUUACCCACGAUGCCGCACAAUAGAGUCUGCAGGGAACGCA